rnacentral:tRNA from 1 species
GGAGGGGUGCCGGAGCGGCUAAACGGCCAGGUCUCGAAAACCUUGGGAGGCGAAAGUCUCACGCGAGUUCAAAUCUCGCCUCCUCCG